rnacentral:rRNA from 1 species
GAUGAACGCUGGCGGCGUGCUUAACACAUGCAAGUCGAACGAUGAAGCCUAGCUUGCUGGGUGGAUUAGUGGCGAACGGGUGAGUAACACGUGAGUAACCUGCCCUUGACUCUGGGAUAAGCCUGGGAAACUGGGUCUAAUACCGGAUAUGACUGCUCCGCGCAUGCGGUGGUGGUGGAAAGCUUUUGCGGUUUUGGAUGGACUCGCGGCCUAUCAGCUUGUUGGUGGGGUAAUGGCCUACCAAGGCGACGACGGGUAGCCGGCCUGAGAGGGUGACCGGCCACACUGGGACUGAGACACGGCCCAGACUCCUACGGGAGGCAGCAGUGGGGAAUAUUGCACAAUGGGCGCAAGCCUGAUGCAGCGACGCCGCGUGAGGGAUGACGGCCUUCGGGUUGUAAACCUCUUUCAGUAGGGAAGAAGCUUUCGGGUGACGGUACCUGCAGAAGAAGCGCCGGCUAACUACGUGCCAGCAGCCGCAGUAA